rnacentral:snRNA from 1 species
CGGCGCAAGUGAAAUACCA